UGUAACCAGUUUCUUCCUCUUCUUCUUUUUCUUCUUCUUCUUUUUCAUCUUCUUCUUCUUCUUUGUUUUCUUCUUUUUGUUGAGACAGAGUUUCACUCUUGUUGCCCAAGCUGGAGUGCAGUGGCACGAUCUUGGUUCACUGCAACAUCCACCUCUGGGGUUCAAGCGAUUCUCCUGCCUCAGCCUCCCUAAUAGCUGAGAUUACAGGUGCCCAACACCACGCCCAGCUAAUUUUUUGUAUUUUUAGUGGAGACGGGGUUUCAUUAUGUUGGCCAAGCUAGUCUUGAACUCCUGACCUCAGGUGAUCCACUUGCCUCUGCCUCCCAAAGCGCUGGGAUUACAGGCGUGAGCCAUCAUGUCCAGGAACCAGUUUCUCUAUAACAAACAUAUUACAUUUAUUUAUUUUUUUCCAAGACAGAGUCUUGCUCUGUCACCCAAGCUGGAGUCCAGUGGCACGAUCUCGGCUCACUUUAAUCUCUGCCUCCCAGGUUCAAGCAAUUCUUCCUGCCUCAGCCUCCUGAGUUGCUGGGAUUAUAGGCAUGCACCACCACACCUGGUUAAUUUUGUAUUUUUAAUAGAGACAAGGUUUCACCAUGUUAGCCAGGCCAUUCUUGAACUCUGGACCUCAGGUGAUCUGCCUGGCUUGGCCUCCCAAAGUUCUGGGAUUACAGGUGUGAGCCACUAUGUCUGGCCUACCUAUUACACUUAUAAUCACAAUUUUGUAUGGCAUUGUGUGAGGCAGAAUAGUGGUUCUCUCAAAAAAUAUUCAUGGAUAAAUCCCUGAAACCCAUUCUAUUGGCAAUGGGAAAUUAAGGUUGCAGAUAGAAUUAAGGAACUGAUUAGCUGAACUUAAAAUAGGGAGAUUCUCUUGGAUUAUCUGAUGGACCCAAUGUAUUCACAAUAAUCCGCUAAAUAUGGUAGAAGGAGGUAAAAGAUAAGAGUCAGAGAGAUUCAGUUACUCUAUUGCUGGCUUUGAAAAUGGUGGAAGGGGCUAGCAUCCAAGGGAGGCAGGUGACUACUAGAAGCAGGAAAAGGUAAGAAAAUGGGAUUCUUCCCUACAGCCUCCAAAAAGCAUACAGCCCUGCUUGACAUCUUGAUUUUAGCCAAGCAAGACCCAUUUCAGACUUCUGACCUCCAGAACUAUAAGAUAACACAUUUCUAUUGUUGUGAGACACUGUUUGUGGUCAUUCGUUACAAUAGUAAUAGGAAGCUGAUCUAUACUGGAAGCAGUAAAUAGAUGUCUAAUACCGUGUUAUUUGAGAUACACACUGUUGGAAAUAGAUGCUUGGUGCCAUAAAGAAAAAUGAGCACUGAGACAAAGGAUUUUUCAGCAAUGCAAUUUUUACUUCCUGGACUGCAGGAAGGGUGCGCUCACUGGCCAUCUUGCCACGAGAGUACAGUGAACAAAGGAAAACACACAAAUUUAUCCCUUCUGCAUUUGGGCUUGUCCUUACUGCUGUGUCUGAUCUCCAUCAACUAGAGCCAGACCUCACAAUCUAAACUAAAACCCAGUUGGCUAACAACGUAAAACUUUUCUAAACAGGAGUGAUCUCGUCUUGCACAAAUACUCUGGUUAAAAUACAAGGACAUAUACUACGUGCCUGUAAGCAUGCCAUGUCUAACGGGCUACAUAAGAUAGGGCUUAACAAAGAGCAAUUAGCACACUUAUUCUUUAACAAGAAAGGAAACUUUAAAAAGAAACUUUUCUACUUCCCACACACACUAAGAUUUUAAAAGAUUUUUAAGAAAAAUUAAGCCAGGUAUGGUGGCUCACGCUUGUAAUUCCAGCACUUUGUGAGGCCAAGGCAGGAGGAUGGCUUGAGCUCAGGAGUUUGAGACCAGCCUGGGCAACAUGGCAAAACCCUGUCCCUAUUAAAAAUGCAAAUCAGCCAGGUGUGGUGCUGUGUGCCUGUAGUUCCAGUUCCUCAGGAGGCUGAGGUGGGAAAAUCACUGGAGCCCAGGAGGCGGAGUUUGCAAUGAGUCAUGAUCAUGCCACUGCACUCUAGCCUGGGCAAGACAGCAAAACCCUGUCUCAAAAAAAAAAAAAAAUUAAAACAAAAAUUUGAGGGUUAUUUCUGUUACUAAGAAAACUUAGUUACCAAAAUAUACUUCACAAGCCCUCUGAUGAACUAAGUUUCUGCUUAACUGUAUUUUAAAACAGUAAGUAUAGUAACUUUUUAAUUUUUUUAAGUAUAGUAAUUUUUAAAAUUACUUCCUUAUUAUUUAAUUAUGUUGUGAUUUUUGGAUCCCAGGUUUCAAUGUUCUUGAUUUUCUAUCCUUCUCCACAAAAUUUCCCAUAGCAAAGACAAUUCAACGUAUUUACUAAACCAGUUCAUUUUCCUCCUGCACAGAUAGAAAGACUACAUUUCCCAGUGACUCUUUCAGCUAGAUGGGGCCAUGUGACUAAUUUUGCCCUAUGGAAUUCAGGGACAUGGAUGAAUCUGGAAACCAACAUUCUCAGCAAACUGACACAAGAACAGAAAAUCAAACACCACAUGUUCUCACUCAUAGGUGAGUGUCGAAUAAUGAGAACACAUGGACACAGGGAGGGGAGCAUCACACACUGGGGUCUGUUGUCGGGGAAUAGGGGAGGGACAGCGGGGGGUAGGGAGGUUGGAGAGGGAUAACAUUGGGAUAAAUGCCAGAUAUAGGUGAUGCGGGAUGAAGGCAGCAAACCAGAAUUCCAUAUAAGUGCCUAUGCAACAAUCCUGCAUGUUUUGCAUAUGUACCCCAGAACCUAAAGUGUGAUAAAAUGUAUAUUCAAAACAAUUGUGAAGAACUGCUCCAGCCCUGUCUCUCUUACUGCCGAGGCCAGCUCCGAAUCUCAGUUCUUCCCUUCUCUUCAGGGUCAUUAGCCCUAACCCUGCUCAGCAGUUCUAUUCCAAUCCCAAACCCACUUCCUGGACCAUUCUUUUCAGUGAUUAGUUUGUCUAUUUACAUAAUAAAAAGACAGCAUUAUAUGGCCAAAUGAAACAUAAAAGUCAUCUUAAAAAGACAGGUUGGAUGCAGUGGCUCCUGCUUGGAAUCCUAACACUUCGGGAGGCCAAGGCAGGAGGAUCACUUGAGCCCGGGAGUUUCAGACCAGCCCAGGCAACAUAGAGAGACUUCACGUCUACUGAAAAAAAAAAAAUUAGACAUGGUAGCUCAUGCAUGUAGUCCCAGCUACUUGGGGGACUGAAACAGGAGAACCCCUUGAGCCUGGAAGGUUGAGGCUACAGUGAGCUGUGAUCAUGCCAUUGCACUCUGGCCUGGGUGACUGAGUAAGACCCUGUCUCAAAGAAAAAAAAAAAAAGUCAGGCAGCCUUUCCUGUUUGAUCAUAGUAUAUUUCCAACUAAAAGAAAUUAUAAUACAUAUCCUCUAGUAUAUCUACACAUCUUUCUGACAAACAUAAUAGAAAAUAUCUUAAAAAUUAAAAGGAAAACUUGUAA